rnacentral:ncRNA from 1 species
UACAUAAAUAGGCAAACCUGUCGAAAGGCAGUGGACGCAAAGCUAAAGGGUCUAAAACCGCAGUGCGGUAAGGGCAGCCAGUUGCAAAA